rnacentral:lncRNA from 1 species
AGGUGGUUAAUGUUCCUUUUUAUGGAUGAAUAGGAACAGCCCAGCUUAGUCACUUGCCCAGGCCACUCAGCCAUAGCUCAGCAAAGCUGGUACCUGGCCCAGACACUCCUGCCUCUCACCACCUGAAGGGCAGCCCACUCUGGGGCUGGCUGUGUGCAGGCAGGAGCCCCCUUGGGGACCAUGGGACUCAGCCCCUGGCAGGUGCUCUGACCUGGUUGCCUGGGUGGCUGUGUUUAAACAUCAUCUUCAGUAGAGGCAAAGAAGAGGAAAGCAAGCAAGCAUGUCAUGGGCAGCCUGGUCCUCCGGGGACUUCCUGUGGCUUGGAUGAUCCUACUGCCCUGGCUUUGUUUGUGAGAGGCAGAAAGGGCAGCUCAGGGGUCUGCUGUCAUGGCAAGGUUGACCAGGCUGGAGGCUGCAGACUGCAGUGGGCCUUGCAUGAGGAAUCAUCUGAGUACCUCGAAGGCUCUGAGAGGGCAGAGCACAUGGCCCAGGAGGGGGCAAAAGAGGAUUGUGGAAUCUUUGAGGAGCUCUCCAUGCCGGUCCUCAGGGUGAUUGGGAGGUUAGAGAGUGGGUUUAGGAGAUGCCAAUCAGAGGUCGUGAAGGUGACGUGCAGGUCAGAUUUGUCCUAUCGAUGUAUUUGAUUAGGCUUACCAUGCCUCUCAAAAAUUUUUAAUUAUGUCCCUACAUUUUCCUGGAAAAUCCAGGUUUGAAGUUUCUUUUGACAAGCUGGAGGAUCUGGCUACAUUGUAUGAGAGGCGAAAGGUUGCCAAUCUAGUUGGUGAAAGAGUUAUCACAGACCACACCAUUCUCCAUGGUGCUCCCAUCAUGGCUUAUAUAUCCCCUGCCCGGGUGGGUCACUUUGUUAGCAGCCCCCACCAUUGAUGGGGAGGCCCUCCAUCAACCCUUGAUUGCUCCACACGACCCUCAAUUCAGCUAUGAUCUUAAUGUCCCUAACAAUGAGCAUGGGGUGGUGACAGGCACUCAAGGUCAUUGGUGUCAGCGGUCCAGAAGCAGAGUUGGGAGUCAAUGUGGGGAGCAAUGAGAAAGGGCUCCUCCACCCCCAGAACCAAAGAUUCAGAGGGUUUGGUCUGAAAACGUGGGGGGAGCCUGUGUGCAGCUUAGCCUCUGGUCCUCUUAAGCUGAGAGAGAGAGAAGACCAGAGCUGAUUGGCCCCAGCCGUACUGCCACACAAGAAAACUUCGCCCACUCUGGAGGAGAUGAAGGGAAAGGGCAAAAAGAGGCUCCAGAGCUUUCCAGAACCUUCCAGAUAGACCACAAGCUUCUAAGAGAGACAAUAGGCAUCAGAGCAACUGUUCCUAACCCCAAGCUGAGGGGGAGGCAGGAAUGUGGGGAGAAGGCUCCCCAGUUCCCAGGGGCAGUCACACUGUCUGGGAGGCACAGGUAGAGCUCCAUGGUGUCAGGACUGCGGGCAGGCUUUGGGUCAGGCUCAGCUGUGAUAUGGAACAAGACCCACCCCGACAGGCCCCGGGUGACCUUCGGUACAGAGCAACUGCUCUCAGGGGAAAAUGAGCCUGGGAUGGGGUGACAGGAAGUGAGGGGGGAGAGAGAGACACACACAGAGACAGACACAGAAAUAUCCAUAGGAAUAGAGAGAGACAGAUUGAGAAUAAGAGAGGGAGGAUGGGUGAGCCUCUUGGGGCCUGUGGUUCUAGCCUGACUUGGGAUCAGCUGGGUGCCCACCCCUCUCCCUUGAAGACCUAACCACCUGUCCUCUCCUCCCUGUCCAAGACCUGGCUCAUGGCCAGCACUGGGGAGUGUCCUGUGCUACCAAUGCUGGCACAGACCAGGUGUUCAAGAACUCUCCUUAUGAAGGCUGCUGCUCCGUCUCCCGCCAGUGGAUCCCUACUCGCCAGGGAAAGCACACCAGGAAGGCCUCAGCCAGCUGGGGACAUCUGGGAUAGGACCACCGGGUUGGGUGGGCUUAUGCCGAUGGCCAGUAAGACCAGGCAAGGCCAGUCUGUCCUCAGCAGCAGUAGGAAGGCUCGGCUCCCUCUCAGAGCCCAGGCUCGGGCCUCAGGCCCCGCCCACCAGAGGGGCCUGUCAUCUUGGACCCUUGGACCAGGGCUUUGGGAUGCAUGGACGACGAAAUCAAAACCAUAUUUUUCUGUGUUGGAAAAUCGAGCCGUGAUGAAUUUGGAAAGGGAUGAAUUUGGAAAAUCAUAAAUAUCAGAGCUGUGCAGACCAUUUCCCGGCAUCGCACAGCACACUGGCUUCACAAAGCCCGAGUGGCACCCUCCCAAGUGCAUGUGGCCUGGACCGGGGCUGCUCCGAUCAGUAAAGGUGGGACCGUGCUCGGGAACGCCGAGGGCAUUUCAUUAGAGGCUGGUGAUGGGGAGCUUCCAAGUGGAUGGUUUGGAAGCUCAUGAGCAGGCAAUGUGGGGGGAGAACGCCCUCAUGGGAGUUGUGGCCAAAGCCAGACCAUGGUUAUUCACAGUGCGGUUUCCAGCUGCUUCCAAAUCUGCCUCUGCCUGCUGGGCCUCUGGGUGAGUUGUGCCUCCCCCCACCCCGGGAUCUCAGUUUCCCCAGCUUCUUCCCAGUCUCCUCCAACUCCAACAUUGUUCCGAGUAGGCUCCAAGGCAGCACCCAGGGCUUCCUGGAGAUGGAGCCUCUGCUUCAGAUGGUCCCUCUGCUUCAUGAACUAGCCUGAGUCACGCAUGAGAUCAAAGACCACACAGGCCCUGGAAAGGGUCUGCUUUACCUCAUUUCUGUGCCUCUGGUGUUCUUUGCUGGCCGGAUAGACACCUAGAAAACCCCUUGGUAUGAAAGCCGGGAUAAGGAAGAUCAGAGCUAGUGGCGCAGGGCCUCUGGGAGGAGUGGGUGUGUGGCUCACACUGUGUUCAGACACCCGGUUCAGGGGGCUUCCUCCCUGGCUGGUGGCCUCUGGAGUGCCCUGAGCCCACCCUGUGCUUGUGACUUCUAGCUUUGUUCUACACCUGGCACAGAGCUGUGCAUCUAAUUUGAACUCUCCUGGCUCUCUCUUUUUCUCUCUGGAACCCUCCCUUCCUGAGAUUGGACCCCAGGACUCCCCUGACCAGUGGAAACACCCUGGGGCACUGAGUCCAAUGAAGAGUCCCCUUAUGGAUGGCCCCUGCACAGAGGCCUCCGUGACAGGGACCUUUGCAGUGCUGGGUGGUGACACUAGCUCUGCCCCCUGCUCUGACCACCACAUCUGCUCAUCCCCUCCCCGAGCCCAGAGGUGAUGGCCCAGCUCACCGGCUUGUCUCACACAUACACAGGACCAGGCACACAGGCACAUAUUAUUUUUGGCUCUUUUCCUCUUGCUCAUUUCUGCUUAAAAUAUUAUACCCACACAGCAUGUGUUGCAUAUAUAUUUCCAUAAUCCCAGCCUUAUUUCAAAAGAGACUUCAGCAAACUAGAGAAGGUAACUCAAUUUCAGGAUGAGUAAUAUUGUCUCUCCCACUGGACAGGAGCAACUCUGUGGGUUCCCUGUGCAGGUCUCAUGAUGCACAGGAGAUGUGCUCAAAGGGGUGGAACCAGGGCCAUUGAAGAUCGCUCACCCCCCACUUUCCACAGAGAUGGGGUGCAUUCCAUCACAUGGGCUCUUAUUCUUUUUCUGCUUCCUGGCUCUCUCCAAGGUCCAAAGGACUCCUCAGCUGGAGGACAGAAAUUUCCAGGUUAUAUCUUCUCAGACAUCCCUAUCCAGGCAUGUCCACAGCUCUUGUAACGGUGGAACCAAGGAGACUGCCUGAUGGUCCCAAGAGGCUGCACAUAUAAUGGCCACCCAUCACAGGGAAAGCCCAUGUUAGAAUGCAAGGAAUCUUGCAAAAAGCUGUUCCAAGUUUACUAGCAUUGCUGAAUCACAGUGUUCAGGCAAAGGCUCCAGGGAUCCUGGAGAAAUGAGGUGGGUGGGACCCAUAUUUUUUGUCUGAUGAAGCUAUUUAUGCUAAAGAAAGACUGGUGAGUACGGAGACAUUCCUGUGGGAGCAGGUUGUCAGCCACCUGGCGAAGGUGUCUGAUUUCCUUCCAAGAUUGGUCCAUUUAAAAAAUGCAUUUUCUUCUGAUUAUCAAAGUCAUCUGUGUUUAUUGCACACACACCACACACACCACACACACACUGAUAAAUAUAUAAAGAAGAAAAUAACAAUCACAAGUGGUACAACUCAGACAUGUUCAGCAAUGUUCUGAUAAAUUCCUUCUAGUUAUAGAUACCUAGCUGUGCACAAGAGAGGGAUUUUUUUCCAUUUCACUUCUUUUAUAAUUUUUUUAAUGGCUGUACCCGAGGCUUAUGGAAGUUCCUGGGCUAGGGAUUUAAUCUAAGCCACAGCUGCAAACUUCAACAAAUCUGCAGCAACACCGAUCCUUUAACUCACUGCAUCAUGGCAGGAACUCCUAUUGCUAUUUUAAAAAAUUUUGUUGAAGUAUAGUUAAUUCACAAGAGGGGGAUUUUUUUUUAAACACUGUUGCUAUCUUAUCGUCAUUGUGCAUGUAAUGCUGAGAGAACUUCAUUUUGCUUACAUAUUUGCCUGCAUUUCUAAUCACUUCUGUUCAAAGACUCCUGAAUCACUGGGCUGAAGAGUGUGAACAUGUUAAGCAUUUCUUUCUUCUUCUUCUUCUUUUUUUUUUUUUUUUUUUUUUGUCUUUUUAGGGCCGCACUAGCGGCACAUGGAGGUUCCCAGGCUAAGGGUUCAAUCGGAGCUGUAGCCAUGGCCAACGCCACAGCCACAGCAACACGAGAUCCGAACUGCAUCUGUGACCUACACCACAGCUCAUGGCAAUGUCUGAUCCUUAACCCACUGAGCAAGGCCGGGAUUGAAUCCAUGUCCUCCUGGAUACCAGUCGGGUUCGGUAACCACUAAGCCACAAUGGGAACUCCAGUGUUGAGCGUUUCUUGCCAGCUUGUCUUCCAGAAAGUGUGAGUCACUUUAUUUCCUCUCCGGGAGUGUGACAGUGCCUACCACCAGCCUUUUACAAAGGAUCUGGUCUGGAAAUGACCCAGAAGUGCAUCUGGUACCUAGAAUUCCAGUGACUAUAUACCAGUCUAGUCCCCACACAAAGCAGGAGCUGAAGCUUCAGGGCCAGAGAGAUUGCCCCCUGCAGGAAAGCCUCCACUUCUCCAGGUCUCAGGUGGGCUCUGUGUGCCCUUGGCCUCGUGGCAGCUUCCCACCAAAGUCUGUCUGAAGCAGUGGAGAAUCUGUGUGGUGGGUGGGCCCUGUGCCCAUCACUCCAUCACUCAUGUCAGACCUGGGUUCAAGUGUUCCUUAUCUAAUGUGGGGCAGCUCUGUAAGAAAAGGAGCGCAAAAGUAUGAAUACAAAAUCAGAUCUGACUGAAUAUUUAUUUAAAAUGCAACCAGAAUCAAAAUAAAUUGCAAAUUUUAAAAAGCUGAUGAAUAACAUAAAUAUCAUAAAACCCUUCAAAAACAUAAUUUGGACCCACUUCUGGACAUACUUCUAUAAUGCUUUCCUUACGUUUUUGGCUGAGAUUGCUUUGUUCUUUUCAUAUGACAAUGAUUUUCUAUAGUCAUAAUAAAAACAUAAUUGAGUCUUUUCUUCAGGACAUGGCUGAUCAAAAAUAUUAAAAUUUUUUCAUAGUUUAGAAAAAUUGCUUUCAAUUUCAUAACUUAUUGGUAAUGGCACAUAAAUUAUAGUAUUAUUAUCAAAUUUGGGGAACACUUGUAUCACAUUUCUAUUGUCUCUGUGCUGUAAGAUUUUAGGGCAUUUCAAACUUUCACAUGGUUAUUCUUCUUAAAAAUUCUCUGAAUGAUGAUAUCCACAUCUAUGUCCAUGUUACAAUGGCAUUUGUGUGUUUUGUGUUUUCUUUGUUGUCAGUUUUGGUGAAUUCGGCAAGAAAUUUAAAUGUCUCCCCAAUGUCUUCAUAGGAUUCACUCCUUUUACUUAGAUUGCUAAAUGCUCCAAGAGCCUAUUAUUUUUAUUGAAUAAUGGUAAAAUAUAAACAUUUAAAUUGUUAAUUUGAUUAAUAGUAAUUUUUGCCUUCCAUAUCUUUAUAACUUGUCUUAUAUUCCAUUAAUUUUUAUGUGAUUUUUUUCUCAGUUUCUUCGUUGAAAAUUCAAGUAGGAAAAAUUACACUUCUGUCUGAAUUGGAAAACUGUAACUUCUCAUUUGUUUUAAUGCAAUUUUUAAAAACAUCUUUCUAGGGGUUCCUGUCGUGGCUCAGUGGUUAAGGAAUCUGACUAGGAACCAUGAGGUUGCAAGUUUGAUCCCUGGCCUUGCUCAGUGGGUUAAGGAUGGUGUUGCCGUGAGCUGUGAUGUAGGUCGCAGAUGCAGCUCGGAUCCCUAGUUGUUGUGGCUGUGGUGUAGGCUGGCAGCU